GUGCUCGCUUCGGCAGCGCAUAUACUAAAAUUGGAACGAUACAAAGAAGAUGAGCAUGGCCCCUGCGCAAGGAUGACACACGAAUUUCAUGAAGCGUUCUAUAUUAAA